GACGAACGCUGGCGGCGUGCUUAACACAUGCAAGUCGAACGAUGAAGCCCAGCUUGCUGGGUGGAUUAGUUGCGAACGGGUGAGUAACACGUGGGCAACCUGCCCCAAACUCUGGGAUAACUCCUCGAAAGAGGUGCUAAUACCGGAUACGAACUAGACAGACAUCAGUCCUAGUUGGAAAGUUUUUCGGUUUGGGAUGGGCCCGCGGCCUAUCAGCUUGUUGGUGAGGUAACGGCUCACCAAGGCUACGACGGGUAACCGGCCUGAGAGGGGGAACGGUCACACUGGGAAUGAGACACGGCCCAGACUCCUACGGGAGGCAGCAGUGGGAAUAUGGCGAAAUGGGCGAAAGCCUGACGCAGCGACGCCGCGUGAGGGAUGAAGGUCUUCGGAUCGUAAACCUCUUUCAGUAGGGACGAAGCGAAAGUGACGGUACCUAAAGAAGAAGCACCGGCUAACUACGUGCCAGCAGCCGCCGCCG
rnacentral:rRNA from 1 species